rnacentral:rRNA from 1 species
UACGUAGGGGGCUAGCGUUGUCCGGAUUUAUUGGGCGUAAAGAGCGUGUAGGCGGCCAGAUAGGUCUGCUGUGAAAACUCGAGGCUCAACCUCGAGACGUCGGUUGAAACCGUAAGGCUAGAGUCCGGAAGAGGAGAGUGGAAUUCCCGGUGUAGCGGUGAAAUGCGCAGAUAUCGGGAAGAACACCCGUGGCGAAGGCGGCUCUCUGGGACGGUACUGACGCUGAGACGCGAAAGCGUGGGGAGCGAACAGG